GACGAACGCUGGCGGCGUGCUUAACACAUGCAAGUCGAACGGAAAGGCCCUGCUUUUGUGGGGUGCUCGAGUGGCGAACGGGUGAGUAACACGUGAGUAACCUGCCCUUGACUUUGGGAUAACUUCAGGAAACUGGGGCUAAUACCGGAUAGGAGCUCCUGCUGCAUGGUGGGGGUUGGAAAGUUUCGGCGGUUGGGGAUGGACUCGCGGCUUAUCAGCUUGUUGGUGGGGUAGUGGCUUACCAAGGCGUUGACGGGUAGCCGGCCUGAGAGGGUGACCGGCCACAUUGGGACUGAGAUACGGCCCAGACGCCUACGGGAGGCAGCAGUGGGGAAUAUUGCACAAUGGGCGGAAGCCUGAUGCAGCAACGCCGCGUGCGGGAUGACGGCCUUCGGGUUGUAAACCGCUUUCGCCUGUGACGAAGCGUGAGUGACGGUAAUGGGUAAAGAAGCACCGGCUAACUACGUG
rnacentral:rRNA from 1 species